rnacentral:rRNA from 1 species
UGGGGAAUAUUGCACAAUGGGGGAAACCCUGAUGCAGCGACGCCGCGUGAACGAAGAAGGUAUUCGUAUCGUAAAGUUCUGUCCUAUGGGAAGAUAAUGACAGUACCAUAGAAGAAAGCUCCGGCUAAAUACGUGCCAGCAGCCGCGGUAAUACGUAUGGAGCGAGCGUUGUCCGGAUUUAUUGGGCGUAAAGCGAGCGCAGGCGGUCAAUUAAGUCUGAUGUGAAAGCCCCCGGCUCAACCGGGGAGGGUCAUUGGAAACUGGUUGACUUGAGUGCAGAAGAGGGGAGUGGAAUUCCAUGUGUAGCGGUGAAAUGCGUAGAUAUAUGGAGGAACACCAGUGGAGAAGGCGACUCUCUGGUCUGUAACUGACGCUGAGGCUCGAAAGCGUGGGUAGCAAACAGG